UACGUAGGGGGCUAGCGUUGUCCGGAAUCAUUGGGCGUAAAGAGCGUGUAGGCGGCCCGGUAAGUCCGCUGUAAAAGUCAAAGGCUCAACCUUUGAAUGUCAGUGGAUACUGCCGGGCUAGAGUCCGGAAGAGGCGAGUGGAACUCUUGGUGUAGCGGUGGAAUGCGCAGAUAUCAGGAAGAACACCAACGGCGAAGGCAGCUCGCUGGGACGGUACUGACGCUGAGACGCGAAAGCGUGGGGAGCAAACGGG
rnacentral:rRNA from 1 species